AACGCACCUUGCGCUCUUUGGCCAUUCCAAAGAGUAUGCCUGUUUGAGUGUCAUUGAAUCCUCAAGGCCCACCGGUUUUUUUGCCGGCUUGGGUUCCUUGGAUGUGGGAGUGCUGCGGGGCCUGCCUCUUUGGCUCCGCUCUCCUGAAAUGCAUCAGUAGGGCCUCGUCCUCUCGGGUCUUUGCGGCGUUGAUAAUUGUCUACGCCUCGCCCGUCGGGCUUCACCUGCUUCCCAACCCUUCAUCAGAACACUUUGACCUCAAAUCAGGUAGGACUACCCGCUGAACUUAA
rnacentral:misc_RNA from 1 species